GUAUUUACUUUAAAGGUUGGUCUGCAUGUCACUCAUUCUACAUGCACAGUGUCAGAGUGAGCUGUGGGUAUUGUUUCUUUCUCCACCACUGAACUGCUGGAGCAAUAUACUGCUGUGAAACCGAGCCUUUCCAACAGAAAUAGAAAUACUGUCACACCUUAAAUGCAAAGAGCUACAGCCAGAUCCACCAAGAAGAACAGAUCCACCAAGUCCAGCCUUGUCAAGUUCUUUGAAGAGGAAUGGGAGGGGAAAAAAUAGUGUGUCUUCAGGAGUCCGUGAAAGGCAAAACCUGCCUCAGACUGACCCCAGUGAUCUCUCCUACUCUUCUCCUUGACUGAAGAGCAUUUCUGUGACUUGAAGAAACAGAGAUUGCAGUCUUUUCUGCCUGGAAAGAGAAGCUAAUCUGUGAAAGAGGAAUGAAGUUGGAUAGCCUAACUCAUCAAUGACAGCAAAAAUGCUUUAAUACCUGGACAGUAACGCUGGAUAUAUGUUGUUUCUGUGGUACUUCAUCGUGACAGUACGGGAAUUUUGAUCCACUCCUAAAGGAUGCCUCGUAAUCUUGUGCUGUCUUUUACUAAUAGAGAUUGUGGUAACAGAAGUGUACAGUUGCAAUUUUUUUUUCUGAAGGAGAGAGAAAAAAUUGUCCCUCCAGAAAUCCUGCAGAA